rnacentral:rRNA from 1 species
GUUUACGGCCAUGUCACUUUGAAAACACCGGUUCUCGUCCGAUCACCGAAGUUAAGCAACGUCGAGCCUAGUGAGUACUUAGACGGGUGAGCGCUUGGGAAACCUAGGUGCUGUAAGCA